rnacentral:rRNA from 1 species
AACGAACGCUGGCGGCAUGCCUAACACAUGCCAGUCGAACGAGACCUUCUGGUCUAGUGGCGCAAGGGUGCGUAACGCGUGGGAACCUGCCCUUAGGUUCUGAAUAACUCCCCGAAAGGGGUGCUAAUACCGGAUAAUGUCUUCGGACCAAAGAUUUAUCGCCUUUGGAUGGGCCCGCGUUGGAUUAGCUAGUUGGUAGGGUAAAAGCCUACCAAGGCGACGAUCCAUAGCUGGUCUGAGAGGAUGAUCAGCCACACUGGGACUGAGACACGGCCCAGACUCCUACGGGAGGCAGCAGUGGGGAAUAGUGGAAAAUGGGCGAAAGCCUGAUCCAGCAAUGCCGCGUGAGUGAUGAAGGCCUUAGGGUUGGAAAGCUCUUUUAACAGGGAGGAUAAUGACAGUACCGGGAGAAUAAGCUCCGGCUAACUCCGUG